rnacentral:lncRNA from 1 species
UAAAUUUUCUGCUUAUGAAGAACAACUCUGCUACUUAAAUGGUAGGGAUUUUGAAAAUAAUGGACGUACUAUAAAAAAUCUAUGACUUAUUCUGGAAGGUGUGUAUCUUCAUAGAUUUAAAAUUCAAAUUAGUAAAGUGUGUUCUUACAUGAAUGGAUUUGUUUAACCAUGAAUCAACAAUACAUUUUUUCAUUUGAAUCAACUCGUGAAAGAAUGCAACUCUUUAUAAAGAGUUAUUUCCCUUCAUCGAGUUGUAUGAGUUGCAAUACACUCAGAAGCAUGAUGAAAAUCAUUUGCUUAUGGUUCUAAACUCUACUAUUGAAGUAAGAUUCUAAUAGCAAAAAAAUUCUUGCACGACAAAUACUUGUGAAGAGCACGGUAAUUCCUUUAGAUUGUAUAUUCUUCAUUAAGACCCUACUUUCCAGCUGCAACAGUACUAUGCAACAUACAACUUAAACAUUAUUAGAGUGCACUUUCCCCCAAGCAAAAUGUUUAUGUGGACUAUUUUAUUUCAAGAGAGAAAUUAAUUUUUCAUUUUAUCAUCUGGAGAUUCAAAACUAAACAUUUAGCUUGUUAGACAGUUGAUUAUAUAAAUUGUUGAGGGAAACAAUUAAAGAAAUAUGGCAAUAUUCAUAAAUUUUAUCAUUCAGAUGAACUUGUAUACAAAGUUUACAAACAAGUUUGAUAACACCAAAUGAGAAUAUUUUCCAUGGUAAGAAAUUAAAUUGUUACAAAAAUUGGUCAACUAUCUACGUUAGUCUUAUCUAAGUUGUCUUCAUAAGGAAUUAGCCCAGAUUCAAACGAGAAGUAAUAUCUAAGAAAACUUCUUCUCUGCACGGAAUUGUGAGACCACCUGUUGGAUGGUCAUAUCCGAAUUGUUCCUCAGCUUGAUUCAGCAAUUCUUGAAACGAUGAUUUCUUCAAGUAUGAUAUUGGGAUCACAAACCUCUUCAUUUCCUCUCCUACAUAUACGGAAAGAUAUCCCUUUGGAACAUCCACACUUUUUGAAGAUGCAGUUCUUCUGAUGAUACUAGGUAAACGAAACCCCAUUCUUGUAUGUGAUGUGAAAAGAAGAUAUUGGUCUAAAAGUGAAGAACUUUGUGUAUAGGUCUCUGAAUUUCAAAUGCUUUGGGUUGUGAAUGAUUUUGUGUUGGUCCUAAAUGCUUACAACGACGAAUAUAUAUAUAUAGAUGAAAGGAUGUGUGACAAACAGUCGGCAACUACAAUGAUCAGUGAGGGAGGGCCAUGAGUUGUAUAGGAGCCAUAGAACCUAAGGGAGACAAGGUCAUAUAAUAGAUCACAUGAUGUUGUCUUAGAUAAUUUUCUCAAGUUUCAACGUCAAAUGUCAUGAUAAUAGAUAAUAAGUCCCACCUCCUUAAGCAGAGGCCAACAUAUAGUAGAUAAUGCAGGCUCCACCACCUUGAGCAAAGGCCAGCAAAGCAUAUCCAUAGUUAUCCAUUGCUGAUCUAUAGUUAUCCAUUGCCUUAUAAUUUAGUCAUUACCAGCUGGACAUCAACAUUAUCAUAAUGGAGAAAACAUGUCUAAAGCAUGUUUACAAAAUAAUGAAGUACAACAAUUCAAUAAUGAACAAAUAUGAAGCAGCACUUGAGCACAUCUCAUUUGGUAGCAAGUGGAAGCUUUGUAUUGGGCAAUGUUUAAGAAGGUGGGGUUACAAUCUAAGACAACACCACAUGACACCUCAUCCAUAUGCUUUCUAUCCUUUGACCCCCUUCAACAAUCGUUUCUUUUGGAGUUGAGUUUUGAGAGAACUUCAAAAACUAUAUAUACACUUCCUUUCUCCUUCAAAAAAAGUACAAGUCAUUCGCAUCCUCAAUUGUUUAGUUACAUCCUUCUAAUAUUUGAGAUUUUUAUUUUGUUCUCACAAACAAGCACGAAAAAUGGGUUUCCGUUUACACGCUAUUCUAAGGACAUCAGCUAGACAAGCAACAUCAAAAUCUGUAGAAGUGAGAAAGGGCUAUGUAGCAGUGUAUGUUGGAGAGAAACAGAAACGGUUUAUAAUCCCUGUAUCAUACUUGAACCAACCUUCAUUUCAAGACUUGUUAAGUCAAGUUGAGGAAGAGUUUGGAUAUGAUCAUCCCACGGGUAGACUCACCAUUCCUUGCACUGAAGACGUCUUCCAACAUAUAACUUCUUGCUUGAAUGGACUAUGAAUCUUACACUGUAGCAUACUGACAUAGACUAGAUUAGCUUAGACAUUUUUUAUAACAGCCAUUGUUUUUACUUGUAAAUAUUACCCUUUUCACGGGAAGCCGAGAAAAAUUCCUAUCUGCAUAACAAAUUCAAAAACUUACUGUCCUCUUUUUUCUUGUGUAAUGGCAUUGAGUGCAGUUACUUUAUCUAUUACGACUUUCACUAGUUAUAAUUAGUUCUUUAAGUUUAAGCCUGCUUAUGAAGAAUAACUCUUGGUUAUUUAAAAAAUAAAGCAUAUCACAUGCAACCAAUAUUGAAUUUAAGUUCUAUUAGAACAGAAACACUGAUUCAAAAGAAUAGAGACACGGAAAAAUGCAAACAAUGAACACACGAUUUUUAAUUACUAAGUUUGACUAAUCGUGCCUAUGUCUCUCUGGCUGCAGGCUUCAGUUCCUUUCUAUUAUUUUAAGCUUAGGCUUUACAGUGUACAACUUAUAUUUAAAUACUCGACAAGCUUUUGCCAGACCUAUGAAUCUAUGACUAAUACAGUAACUAUCAUACUCAUACAUACCACCAUUUUAGCACAGCAUAUAUAAUUUAUUUAUUUUUGGUAGAUAGACAAAAUGACAAUAGCCAUUGGAAACUCACACACACACAAUUGGAGGAGUUGGGGUCCGAACCCCGCUCACAGCUUGCGGCCUAAUAAUUUCUGCAUUUUUGCAAGUUGAGCUAGAAUUUUUGGACGCAAAGCAUGUAUAAUUUAUUAUGACUAAUUCAAAUAGAAACCAAAGACAAGAGUAUAUAUGGGGUGGUUCAUGAGCCCUAAUCUCUGUCAAAUGCUACCAAAUUAACCAUUCAAUUCCUUAAGUAAGUAACGAUCAUCAAUACAUACAGGCACAGCAGCGUAUCAUAGGGUAAAUACACACACAUCAAGCAUCAUAGUUUAACUACUUAACAGUGAUAUACAAAUUCUUUGUUGAUAUAUCAUCAUUGUAAACAAUUAUGUUGUGUGACAAAAAUGAAAGAAGAGAAAGAAUGGGGUUUUGGUUUACCUGGUGUUAGAAGAGGUAGAGAAGCAGUUCGUGAUUCCGAUUGGAUGGUUGAAUCAAAGCUUCAUUUCAAAGAAUUGUUAAGCAAAGAUGAACAAGAAUUUGGGAUUUUGGGUGUAUUCCUUACACAGAGGAUCUCCUCGGAGAAGUCUUCUUCUCAUCUUUUCUUUUUCUCUCCAUCUUCGGAUGAGUGGUGAGCUGACCAAACCGUG